rnacentral:lncRNA from 1 species
GUUUUAGGUUAUUUUUUGAACUAGAAUCACCCCUCUACAUCCUUUUUCCCUUUUCUUUCAAUCUAAAUAAGUGGUUUUCACAUCUAUCAAGUUUUUCCUUUUAUGUUUUUUGUGAUAUCGUCGUCUAAGUGCAGCGUUGUGUUGUUCGUCGUCUUGUGCGGCAUUUGAUUUCACGUCUUGUCACAGUGUUUGUUCAAUUCCUGUUGAAAGAUCUACAUCAGUCAAUUACAAAUUCAAUCAAUGAUUUGGACGUCAACGUUUCAGAUCCGAAAGCAUGGGUAUUUCGGUGACUUAAGUUUUAUCAUAUUAUUUAAUUUGUAGGCAUUUUGCCGUUGUAUGCUAUUAACUUGGGUGAUGUGAGUUUGCUCGCAGAUUCACCCUUUACGUUUUUAGCAUGUUUGUAUCUAAUAUACUCUAUC